AUUGAACGCUGGCGGCAUGCUUUACACAUGCAAGUCGAACGGUAACAGGCCUUCGGGUGCUGACGAGUGGCGAACGGGUGAGUAAUGCAUCGGAACGUGCCCAGAGGUGGGGGUUAACGCAGCGAAAGCUGUGUUAAUACCGCAUGUGAUCUGAGGAUGAAAGCGGGGGACCCGCCAGCAAUGUUUGGCCUCGCGCCUUUGGACCGGCCGAUGUCAGAUUAGGUAGUUGGGGGGGUAAAGGCCUACCAAGCCGACGAUCUGUAGCUGGUCUGAGAGGACGACCAGCCACACUGGGACUGAGACACGGCCCAGACUCCUACGGGAGGCAGCAGUGGGGAAUUUUGGACAAUGGGCGCAAGCCUGAUCCAGCAAUGCCGCGUGCGGGAAGAAGGCCUUCGGGUUGUAAACCGCUUUUGUACGGAACGAAAAGGCUCUGGCUAAUACCUGGGGCUGAUGACGGUACCGUAAGAAUAAGCACCGGCUAACUACGUG
rnacentral:rRNA from 1 species